rnacentral:rRNA from 1 species
GUGAGUAGUUCAGAGUUUGAUCCUGGCUCAGGAUGAACGCUAGCGGCAGGCUUAACACAUGCAAGUCGAGGGGCAGCAUGACACGGAGAUUCGUCGAAGUGUUGAUGGCGACCGGCGCAAGGGUGCGUAACGCGCGAGCAACUUGCCCGUUUCUGGGGAAUAACCGGUGGAAACGCCGACUAAUACCCCAUAGCAUUGGUUUGAGGCAUCUCUUACCAAUUAAAGAAUUUCGGAAACGGAUAGGCUCGCGUGACAUUAGCUAGAUGGCGGGGUAACGGCCCACCAUGGCAACGAUGUCUAGGGGUUCUGAGAGGAAGGUCCCCCACACUGGAACUGAGACACGGUCCAG